rnacentral:rRNA from 1 species
AACGAACGCUGGCGGCAUGCCUAACACAUGCAAGUCGAACGAGACCUUCGGGUCUAGUGGCGCACGUGUGCGUAACGCGUGGGAACCUGCCCUUAGGUUCGGAAUAACUCCCCGAAAGGGGUGCUAAUACCGGUUAAUGUCUUCGGACCAAAGAUUUAUCGCCUUUGGAUGGGCCCGGGUUGGAUUAGCGAGUUGGUAGUGUAAAAGCCUACCAAGGAAAAGAUCCAUAGCUGGUCUGGGAGGAGGAUAAGCCACACUGGGAAUGAGACACGGACCAGAAUGGGACGGAGGGGAGAGGAGGAGAAUAUUAGACAAGGGGGGAAGGCGUGAUCAAGCAAUGCGGGGGAAGAGAUAAAGGCGUUAGGGAAGUAAAGCUGUUUUAGACGGGAUGAUAGUGACGGUAACGGGAAAAUAAGCACCGGCUAACUACGUG